rnacentral:rRNA from 1 species
AUUGAACGCUGGCGGCAGGCCUAACACAUGCAAGUCGAGCGAGAAAGGUCUUCGGACUGAGUACAGCGGCGGACGGGUGAGUAAAGCGUAGGAAUCUACCUGGUAGUGGGGGAUAACUUGGGGAAACUCAAACUAAUACCGCAUACGCCCUACGGGGAAAGGCGGGGACCGUUCGGGCCUCGCGCUAUCAGAUGAGCCUGCGUAGGAUUAGCUAGUUGGUGAGGUAAAGGCUCACCAAGGCGACGAUCCUUAGCUGGUCUGAGAGGAUGAUCAGCCACACUGGGACUGAGACACGGCCCAGACUCCUACGGGAGGCAGCAGUGGGGAAUAUUGCGCAAUGGGCGAAAGCCUGACGCAGCCAUGCCGCGUGUGUGAAGAAGGCCUUAGGGUUGUAAAGCACUUUCAAUUGGGAAGAAAAGUUGGUCGUCAAUAGCGGCCAGCCCUGACAUUACCUUUAGAAGAAGGACCGGCUAACUCCGUGCCAGCAGCCGCGG